UUUACUCCAAACCUUGGCGCAUGUCUUGGCGCAUGUCAAAGUGACUCCGUUGGUGUCUAGGGAACCACCGCAGGAUAACAAUGAGGAGAGGAAUGAACAAUACACGGUUAUGUAACAAGACGUCGAGGAAAUAAUCAGAAAAAAAUUUGAAAAAGUACGGAUAAGAAACCGAACAACCAAAAGACAAGAGAAACAGUUCGAGACUAAAACGCGAUGACAAACAUUUACGCUUGCAGUGAAGACAAAAGAAACCGAAAAAAAUCUUGCAGCUACAUGGACUUCCCAGGUUUUUUUAGAUCUCUAUAAACCCCUACGCACAUGUUAAUUCACAGUGUUACAUUGAAAUAGCGUAAAGAAGGCGUGAAGGCUUAAUCUCCUAUUGUUUAGAAUACAGAAAAAAAGAAUAAAGAGGACUUUGCGAUCUUA